rnacentral:rRNA from 1 species
GACGAACGCUGGCGGCGUGCUUAACACAUGCAAGUCGAACGGAAAGGCCCUGCUUUUGUGGGGUGCUCGAGUGGCGAACGGGUGAGUAACACGUGAGUAACCUGCCCUUGACUUUGGGAUAACUUCAGGAAACUGGGGCUAAUACCGGAUAGGAGCUCCUGCUGCAUGGUGGGGGGUGGAAAGUUUCGGCGGUUGGGGAUGGACUCGCGGCUUAUCAGCUUGUUGGUGGGGUAGUGGCUUACCAAGGCUUUGGAGGGUAGCCGGCCUGAGAGGGUGACCGGCCACAUUGGGACUGCGAUACGGCCCAGACUCCUACGGGAGGCAGCAGUGGGGAAUAUUGCACAAUGGGCGGAAGCCUGAUGCAGCAACGCCGCGUGCGGGAUGACGGCCUUCGGGUUGUAAACCGCUUUCGCCUGUGACGCAGCGUGAGUGACGGUAAUGGGUAAAGAAGCACCGGCUAACUACGUG